CGAAAUAUUUACGCUUCCAUCUAUUAGCAUAAAAGAUUUUAAAAAGCUAAGGGAUGUUACGGUAUCUGUUCGUGUAAAUUCGACAUGUUCUUUUAAUUUGAGAUAACAUUGGUUUCACAGCGUACUUUUAAAGUGUAGACGUUUAUAAAUACAAGUUCCAUGUAAAUCUAUGUGAUUAACACUCUGCACACACAGAGUGCAACACCUGCAUGCUAUAUGUAUUUCUACUUUUUAACUUGAUAACGAAUUAUACACUUCAAUUCAUGUAGUAAAGGAGUCGAGUUUAAAUCUAAACUUAGUUACGGAAAUACAAUACUUUAAUUCACCAAAGGAUGGUAAUAGACAGAUGCGGCUCAAAUGUAUGAUGGAUAACAUACGAAUGUUUUACUAUGAGUUUUAGAUGAAACAUUGUACAAUUAUUUUAUUUGAACACGCAAAAGGACAAAACUAAUUAUAUAUUUGACAUUUCAAUUUGGACUUAUACAGAUUAGGUUUUACCAGCCAUUGUCAAGC
rnacentral:lncRNA from 1 species